GAUGAAGAACGCAGCGAAAUGCGAUAAGUAAUGUGAAUUGCAGAAUUCAGUGAAUCAUCGAGUCUUUGAACGCACAUUGCGCCCCCUGGUAUUCCGGGGGGCAUGCCUGUCCGAGCGUCAUUGCUGCCCUCAAGCACGGCUUGUGUGUUGGGCCCCCGUCCCCGGUUCUCCCCGGGGACGGGCCCGAAAGGCAGCGGCGGCACCGCGUCCGAUCCUCGAGCGUAUGGGGCUUUGUCACCCGCUCUGUAGGCCCGGCCGGCGCCAGCCGACACCCCAACUUUAUUUUCUAAGGUUGACCUCGGAUCAGGUAGGGAUACCCGCUGAACUUAAGCAUAUCAAUAAGCGGAGGAA
rnacentral:misc_RNA from 1 species